rnacentral:lncRNA from 1 species
GAUUGUGAACUCAAUUUAUAUCUCAACGUUUUCCAAUUAUAUGAUCUUCUGUGAUCUACAACACACCAUAUAAUCUAUAGUAUGAGAUAAAUUGGACUAUAAUAGGAUUAUGCAAUAACAAUAUUUCAGAUAGAAGAAUCACAGUGAACUAAGGAAUCAAUGUAUACAAGCAUAAAGUCUUGCUUUCAGUAUACAACCCUUCAGAUCCAAACACGAUUGUAGGCUAGUUCCACUGCAGUACAUAUAAUGCAAGUAAUAUGUAAAUGGAUCCAUUGAAUCCUAAGUAGAGAGUAACUUGAGCUUGAAUCCUAAGUGGAGAGAGAGGAGGGGGAGAGAGAGAGAUAACUGACUCCAUGGUGAGCGGAGGCGCGGGAUUGACGGCAUAUGGGCAUGGGCGGUUCUGGACCAGGCGGCGGUUUCGCAUCGACGGCAAGGAGAAGAUUGCGGAGAUCGACGGCGGAAAGAAGAUUAUGGAGAUCGACGGCGUGGCUCGGAGCGGGGCGGCGGUUCUGGAAUGACGGCGGGGAGAAGAAGCGGGGUUCGACGGCGUGGCUCCGGGUGGGGGCGGAGGUUCUGUUUUGCGUUGAUAAAAGAGUUCUGAAUCUUCUGAUGUUGGAGAAAAAGCAGUUAUGGCAUGAUUAGU